rnacentral:rRNA from 1 species
GCCUACGGGAGGCAGCAGUGGGGAAUAUUGCGCAAUGGGGGAAACCCUGACGCAGCAACGCCGCGUGAGUGAAGACGUAUCUCGGUAUGUAAAGCUCUAUCAGCGGGGAAGAAGGAAGACGGUACCCGACUAAGAAGCCCCGGCUAACUACGUGCCAGCAGCCGCGGUAAUACGUAGGAUGCGAGCGUUAUCCGGAUUUAUUGGGUUUAAAGGGUGCGUAGGCGGACUGUUAAGUCAGCGGUAAAAGCCCGGGGCUCAACCCCGGCGAGCCGUUGAAACUGGCUGUCUUGAGAUGUCGAGAGGUA